CUACGAACACUCAUAUAGGAAUAAACUGUUUAAUUCCACACACACUCAAAAAGAUACUCACAAAAUUCGCUCACAAUACUUUCGACAAUCACACAUCGAAAUGAAUAAAUGAGAUAAGGACAUAAUCCAGACAUAAUCCAGUCACGAGUCGAGAUAUGAUUCACAGUGUGUGUGGAGACAUGAGCACAUGUUAGACAUCAUUUGCACAGUUCCUGAAAGAUGAAUCCAGGAUUCUAACCACAGCUGUUGUAGAAAGCAAAUCCCACUGAAAAAUAAGUAUUCUAUAAUAAACCUUUUUUUUCUCCAUAAAAAGAAUGAAACUGAAAAA